rnacentral:rRNA from 1 species
AUUGAACGCUGGCGGCAGGCCUAACACAUGCAAGUCGAGCGGAGCGGCGGACGGGUGAGUAAUGCCUAGGAGUCUGCCUGGCAGUGGGGGGUAACGUCCGGAAACGGGCGCUAAUACAGAAAACUAUCAGAUGAGCCUAGGUCGGAUUAGCUAGUUGGUGGGGUAAAGGCCUACCAAGGCGACGAUCCGUAGCUGGUCUGAGAGGAUGAUCAGUCACACUGGAACUGAGACACGGUCCAGACUCCUACGGGAGGCAGCAGUGGGGAAUAUUGCACAAUGGGCGAAAGCCUGAUGCAGCCAUGCCGCGUGUGUGAAGAAGGUCUUCGGGUUGUAAAGUACUUUCAGUGAGGAGGCGUUACCCACAGAAGAAGCACCGGCUAACUUCGUGCCAGCAGCCGCGGUAAUAC